rnacentral:rRNA from 1 species
AGAGUUUGAUCAUGGCUCAGGAUGAACGCUAGCUACAGGCUUAACACAUGCAAGUCGAGGGGCAGCAUCAUCAAAGCUUGCUUUGAUGGAUGGCGACCGGCGCACGGGUGAGUAACACGUAUCCAACCUGCCGACAACACUGGGAUAGCCUUUCGAAAGAAAGAUUAAUACCGGAUGGCAUAGUUUUCCCGCAUGGGAUAAUUAUUAAAGAAUUUCGGUUGUCGAUGGGGAUGCGUUCCAUUAGGCAGUUGGCGGGGUAACGGCCCACCAAACCUACGAUGGAUAGGGGUUCUGAGAGGAAGGUCCCCCACAUUGGAACUGAGACACGGUCCAAACUCCUACGGGAGGCAGCAGUGAGGAAUAUUGGUCAAUGGACGAGAGUCUGAACCAGCCAAGUAGCGUGAAGGAUGACUGCCCUAUGGGUUGUAAACCUCUUUUAUACGGGAAUAAAGUGAGCCACGUGUGGCUUUUUGUAUGUACCGUAUGAAUAAGGAUCGGCUAACUCCGUGCCAGCAGCCGCGGUAAUACGGAGGAUUCGAGCGUUAUCCGGAUUUAUUGGGUUUAAAGGGAGCGUAGGCGGGUUGUUAAGUCAGUUGU